UGACAGCUUAGGGUCAAGAGAACUUGCCUGGGAAGUGAAACACCCAAGUUUAAUUCCUUCUUCAUUCUCUAGGUUUCAAAGACCUAUCUCUUGCCUCCCCUGGGAGCAACUGAGAGGAUCUUGGCUGAUGAGAGGCAGUAAUAUUUCCAAGUAAAUAGGAGAUGGGCCAAGCAGUUCCCUCUGAAUUACUGUUCAUCAGGCUUUCACACUCUAUUAAGUCACACAGCCAAACAGAUCUUUGCUGGCAUCUAGAAGACUCAUGCAGAGAAGCAAGGAGCUGGAAGGAUAAGAUGGGAAAAAUUAUAAUGUCUGAAGAAUAAUUAGUUUGUGGAUGCAGAACUAGAAGAUACUAAGGAGAAACACAUUUUCUGAAAACUAAUGCUGAAGGUCAUGUCCUCAAUGUACUUGUGUUUUUCUUUCUAGUGCAACUGGGGGUGAAAUGACACAGGUCAAUAUUGGGAAUUGAUAUUGAAAUUCUUGCCUAACUUUUGUUUCUCUGAGCAUUCUGCUGAGUUCUGGGUGGCUGUCCACAGUGGCAGAAGGGAGCAAAUCUGUUGUCCUGCUCCAGCCCUUGAAGAUCUUUAAGUCCAUGUGAAAUU